rnacentral:tRNA from 1 species
CUAAAGAAAUAGGAAAACCAAGAGAAAGCUUCUAACUUUCAACUUUAGCAGUGAAAUUCUGUUAAUAUUUCU